UACGUAGGGACCAAGCGUUGUUCGGAUUUACUGGGCGUAAAGCGUGCGCAGGCGGUUAUGCAAGACAGAGGUUAAAUCCCCGGGCUCAACCUGGGAACUGCCUUUGUGACUGCAUAGCUAGAGUACGGUAGAGGGGGAUGGAAUUCCGCGUGUAGCAGUGAAAUGCGUAGAUAUGCGGAGGAACACCGAUGGCGAAGGCAGCCCCCUGGGUCAAAACUGACGCUCAUGCACGAAAGCGUGGGGAGCAAACAGG
rnacentral:rRNA from 1 species